GACAGAGGGGGCAAGCGUUGCUCGGAAUUACUGGGCGUAAAGGGCGCGUAGGCGGGAUGGCAAGUCGGUCGUGAAAUCCCUCGGCUCAACCGAGGAACGUCGAUCGAUACUGCUGUUCUUGAGGAUUGCAGAGGAGACUGGAAUUCCCGGUGUAGCGGUGAAAUGUGUAGAGAUCGGGAGGAACACCGGUGGCGAAGGCGGCCUGCUGGGCAGUUACUGACACUGAGGCGCGACAGCGUGGGGAGCAAACAGG
rnacentral:rRNA from 1 species